GGAGGGGUGCGAGCGUUAAUCGGGAAUUACUGGGGCGUAAAGCGCGCGUAGGCGGGCUUGGUCAGUCGGGAUGUGAAAGCCCCGGGGCUUAACCUGGGAAUUGCAUUCGAUACUGCCAAGCUAGAGUAUGGGAGAGGGAAGCGGAAUUUCCGGUGUAGCGGUGAAAUGCGUAGAUAUCGGAAGGAACACCAGUGGCGAAGGCGGCUUCCUGGCCCAAUACUGACGCUCAGGUGCGAAAGCGUGGGGAGCGAACAGGAUUAGAUACCCUGGUAGUCCACGCCGUAAACGAUGAGAACUAGAUGUCGGGAGGAUUUGCCUCUCGGUGUCGCAGCUAACGCGUUAAGUUCUCCGCCUGGGGAGUACGCCGGCAACGGUA
rnacentral:rRNA from 1 species